rnacentral:rRNA from 1 species
CACCCUACGGGUGGCAGCAGUAAGGAAUAUUGGGCAAUGGACGCAAGUCUGACCCAGCCAUGCCGCGUGAAGGAUGACGGCCCUAUGGGUUGUAAACUUCUUUUGUACGGGAAAAAACCCCUGAUCGUGUAUCGGGGCUGAUGGUACCGUAAGAAUAAGCAUCGGCUAACUCCGUGCCAGCAGCCGCGGUAAUACGGAGGAUGCAAGCGUUAUCCGGAUUCAUUGGGUUUAAAGGGUGCGUAGGCGGGAUGAUAAGUCAGUGGUGAAAUCCUACAGCUUAACUGUAGAACUGCCAUUGAUACUGUCAACCUUGAGUACAUUUGAAGUGGGCGGAAUGUGUCAUGUAGCGGUGAAAUGCUUAGAUAUGACACAGAACACCGAUAGCGAAGGCAGCUCACUAAACUGUUACUGACGCUGAGGCACGAAAGCGUGGGGAUCAAACAGGAUUAGAUACCCCUGUAGUC